UCGACAUUCUCUGCACACUGGCAUUUACACA
rnacentral:piRNA from 2 species